ACGGCCAUACCACAUUGAAAACAUUGGUUCUCAUCUGCUCACCGAAAUUGAGCAAUGUCGGGCCUGGUCAGUACUUAGAAGUUGGUUUUCGACCGCUACAACCCGGGUUCGAUUCCCGCAUUGGGCACUUUUUUCUGCUUAAAA